rnacentral:rRNA from 1 species
UACGUAGGGGGCGAGCGUUGUCCGGAUUUAUUGGGCGUAAAGAGCUCGUAGGCGGUUUGGUAAGUCGGGUGUGAAAACCCCAGGCUCAACCUGGGGACGCCACCUGAUACUGCUAUGACUUGAGUCUGGUAGGGGACCACGGAAUUCCUGGUGUAGCGGUGAAAUGCGCAGAGAUCGGGAAGAACACCCGUGGCGAAAGCGCUCUACUGGACUGCAACUGACACUCAGGGACGAAAGCUAGGGGAGCGAAUGGG